rnacentral:rRNA from 1 species
CGUGUAGGCGGCAAGGCAUGUCGGGUGUGAAAGCCCUCGGCUUAACCGAGGAAGUGCGCCCGAAACUAUCUUGCUUGAGUACCGGAGAGGAUGGCGGAACUCCCGGUGUAGAGGUGAAAUUCGUAGAUAUCGGGAAGAACACCAGUGGCGAAGGCGGCCAUCUGGACGGAUACUGACGCUGAGACGCGAAAGCGUGGGGAGCAAACAGGAUUAGAUACCCUGGUAGUCCACGCCGUAAACGAUGGGCACUAGAUGUCGUGGGUGUUGACCCCCGCGGUGUCGUAGCUAACGCAUUAAGUGCCCCGCCUGGGAAGUACGGCCGCAAGGCUAAA